UAGUACGGCGAGUGAAGCGGGAAGAGCUCAAAUUUGAAAUCUGGUGGCCUCAGGUCAUCCGAGUUGUAAUCUAUAGAAGUGUUUUCCGUGCUGGCUCAUGUACAAGUCCCUUGGAACAGGGCGUCAUAGAGGGUGAGAAUCCCGUCCUUGACAUGAACUACCAGUGCUCUGUGAUACAUUUUCAACGAGUCGAGUUGUUUGGGAAUGCAGCUCAAAAUGGGUGGUAAAUUCCAUCUAAAGCUAAAUAUUGGCGAGAGACCGAUAGCGAACAAGUACCGUGAGGGAAAGAUGAAAAGCACUUUGGAAAGAGAGUUAAACAGUAUGUGAAAUUGUUGAAAGGGAAACGAUUGAAGUCAGUCGUGCUCUUUGGAUUCAGCCGGUUCUGCCGGUGUACUUCCUUUGAGUGGGGUCAACAUCAGUUUUGAUCGCUGGAUAAAGGCUGGAGGAACGUAGUACCCUCGGGUAAACUUAUAGCCUCCUGUCACAUACAGUGGUUGGGACUGAGGAACGCAGCACGCCUUUAUGGCCGGGAUUCGUCCACGUACGUGCUUAGGAUGUUGACAUAAUGGCUUUAAACGAC
rnacentral:rRNA from 1 species